CCUACGGGAGGCAGCAGUGGGGAAUAUUGGGCAAUGGAGGAAACUCUGACCCAGCGACGCCGCGUGCGGGAUGAAGGCCUUCGGGUUGUAAACCGCUUUCAGUAGGGAAGAAGCGAAAGUGACGGUACCUACAGAAGAAGCACCGGCUAACUAUGUGCCAGCAGCCGCGGUAAUACAUAGGGUGCAAGCGUUGUCCGGAAUUAUUGGGCGUAAAGAGCUCGUAGGUGGUUCGUCACGUCGGAUGUGAAAAUCUGGGGCUCAACCCCAGACCUGCAUUCGAUACGGGCGAUCUAGAGUGUGGUAGGGGAGACUGGAAUUCCUGGUGUAGCGGUGGAAUGCGCAGAUAUCAGGAGGAACACCAAUGGCGAAGGCAGGUCUCUGGGCCAUUACUGACACCGAGGAGCGAAAGCGUGGGGAGCGAACAGGAUUAGAUACCCUGGUAGUCCACGCCGUAAACGGUGGGCACUAGUUGUGGGAACCUUCCACGGUUUCUGCGACGCNGCUACGCAUAGUAGCCCGCCGUCGGGAGGUACGAGUCGCGAAGAAUUAAAACUUAAAACGGUAAAGUUAGUACGGCGUGAGACGUGCCGAACGGACGACCGACGAGGGAGGUAGG
rnacentral:rRNA from 1 species